rnacentral:rRNA from 1 species
AUUGAACGCUGGCGGCAUGCUUUACACAUGCAAGUCGAACGGCAGCACAGGGAGCUUGCUCCUGGGUGGCGAGUGGCGAACGGGUGCGUAAUGUAUCGGAACGUGCCUGGUGGGGGGGAAUAACUAGUAAAAGUGGGGACUACUGCAUGAUGGGAUCGUUUGAUAAAGGGGGGGGACCUGGGGUCGUGGUACUGGAGAGGCCGCCGAUAUCAGAGUGGGUUGUUGGUGGGGUAAAGGCCUACCAAGCCUGCGAUCUGUAGCUGGUCUGAGAGGACGACCAGCCACACUGGGACUGAGACACGGCCCAGACUCCUACGGGAGGCAGCAGUGGGGAAUUUUGGACAAUGGGCGCAAGCCUGAUCCAGCAAUGCCGCGUGCAGGACGAAGGCCUUCGGGUUGUAAACUGCUUUUGUACAGAACGAAAAGUCUCUGGCUAAUAUCUAGAGAUCAUGACGGUACUGUAAGAAUAAGCACCGGCUAACUACGUG